UGUUCUUCUGAAAUCCGAACUGAUUUUGGUGAAUUAGGUGGUUAUGGUUUAGAUGAAGGACGAGUCUAUUAUAUAUAAGUUUUUCGAGAAUUUUGGACAUGAAUGGCAAAUUACUGAUAGGUCUGUAGUUAUUUACAAGUUGCGAGUCCCCACUUUUAUAGAUGGGUUUAAUCACGUUUUUUUGAAAAUGCUCGGAAAUAUCCCCAAGGACAAACAGCUGUUGAAAAGAUGGACAAUUGCCUGGAGUAUAACCUUAUAAGAUAACUUGAAUAUUUUUAAAUUAAUAUUGUCGACUCCAGCUCCGACGUUGUUCAGACCAUCCAUAACAAGAAUUAAUUCCUGUUCAUUAGUGGGGGGGCAGAUCCGUUUCAUUUUCUACAUCUGUGAUGAGCUGGAGGGGGUAGAACGAUGAUUUAGGAAUCUUGUCUUUUAACUAUUAUCCAAUCUCACUAAAGAAGUGGUUAAAUGAUUCUGCGAUAUCCGGAGCGUCUGAUAAUUUUAUCAUCAGUUCCAGUAAUCCUGGUUGGAUCUACAUCUUUUUGUUUUGAAUUGAUGAGUGCGUAAUGUUUUCCAUGUUUCCUUGGAGUUGCCAGAAUGUUUACUGAAUUAAUCAUUGUAGUAUUUCUUUUUGGCUACCCUAAGAGAUAUAGUUAGAAUGAUACAGUAAGAAGUGUAUGUUGCAUUAUUUUCAAGACUGGGAUUCUUCAAUUUCUGUUCAAACAGCUUACUUUUAUGUGUAAUUGAUAGAAGAAGUGCAGGUGACACCCAUGGUUUGCGUGAGCUGGUUUUUCGAGAAAUGUGCCUUGUGUGAGAAAACCUGGUGAUCCUGGCAAUGUAAGCAUACACAAUUUGAUUUGCAACAGCACCAGGUUCUGGCUCAUUUUCAAUAUAAACAAGGUGAUCAACAAGGAAUUGUUUAAAUUCUUCCAGCGAUCUAUAAUCAAAUGUGGUAAUAGGUGCUCUACCAUCAAGGGAGUGUGGGUGUGAGGCAUAACUCAUGGAAGCAAAAAUAGGGAACUGAUCAGACAAAUCAUGAAGGAGAAUGCCUGUAUGCAUCACUUUUGAUAAGACAUUGCAAAAUAUGUUAUCUAGAAGAGUACAUGAUGGAUAGCAAGAUCGAGUUGUCCUGGAUAUUUUAGGAAAGAAGCCAUUUGAACACAUGUUAGUGAAAAGUGCUUGCACAUUAGGAUUUAUAUCAAGUGAGAACAGAUCAAAGUUGAAAUGACCAGCAAUAAAUGUCACUUUGUUCAUUUUUUAAAGCCAAAUUAGGCAUUGUUCUAGCUCUGAGUUGAAGUGGUGUUUGUCAGUGCUGGGCACUAUCACAGGGUAGUUCAGCACAAACCACUUUAGCUGUAGAGAAAACUGGAUUGUUAAGUUGUGUAGGAUGAAGAUGAUCAGCAAUGUGUACUGCUGAUCCACCACCUACCCCUUUUGAUCUGCUGCAGUAGAAACCUUGGUACCCAGGUAAGUCAUAAUGAAUUCCAAAGCCGCAGACAGCCAUGUCUCAGAUAUAGAAAUUACAUGCCAUGUUAUAUCAGUCUGGGCAAGCAGACUACUUAAAUCAUCCUGCUUCUUCAGGAUUGAGGGAAUGUUAACAUGUAUAAGGUUUAGUGCACUGAUGUUGUGUGGAAUAACAGUUUUUACCUGAUCAGGUAAGUAGAAUGUGCAUGCUUCUCUUAGUUUUUCAUGAUCAUCACAUGAUAGUGAAGGAUCACUACCAUCCAUGUUUGAAGCAAAUGGAUUAAACACCUUAUUAUUUGGGGUUGAACCCAUAUAGUAAGGUGUUGAUGGAAAAGAAGGUAAGGAAAAGUGGAUGAUCUAGAAUACAGGUCAUAGAGGGAGUUCAGAAAAGGGAGAUUUUAAUCAUUAUCAAAUCAGAGAUUUUAAUCAUUUUAAGAUGUUUUUCAAUAUGAUGCUCAAGACUUCAAAAUGAGAAAGCAUAUGUUGAAUGAUAAAUGCCAAAAACAGGUUGUGUUGAUAGGACUUUUCUGCUAGUCACAGCUUUAGCAUGCAGACACAACAUGAGAACAUGGGCAGUGAGCUUGAUAAGUACCUAGAAUAAACAAGCACAUUAUUAUGAGGGGCAUAAGCCACCAAGCCAGGCACCACUGGCAAAUUCCUCUACUAGAAAUACUAGAAAUAAGGCAUUAUAAUACAGUAAGCUGUAUGUACACCACACCCAUUGUCACAUGCAAGUUCUCAAGAAGAUCAUAAAUGUAUGGGUAGUUAACUGAGGAAUGUGCCAGUGGUAGCCUAGCCAGGUGACAUCAUUAACCAAUGGACUCACUACUUUUUAGAACUUGAGAGUCUGGUCUCAGGUCGGGCCUGCCUGCCUUCAACUGUUACAAACUCCUCAAGAUUAGCAGCUCUGUUUAGCACAUGACCAGCAAGAAUGUGGUUCAGGGUCUGAGGGUAUAUGAACCUAUUCUGGCCUGCUACGCUUCUGUUUGCCGAAGGGGAUAGUAUAGAUGGUGGCACGGCACCACUCCACCCUUCACGUCUACCUUGAGUUUUCUUUGAUGACCUUGCGGGCAACACUUCUGGUCCCCUCAGUGGUCUCAUCUGCCAUUGGCUCAGGGAUACCAUCUCCACUCAGAAUGAGAGAAGACUUCCGCCAGUAUUGCCUCGUCUCAUCGACAGCAGCCUCCAGAUGUUUAACCGUUUCACGAAGCUCAGAGUUUUCCCGUUUCAGUUUCUGAGUUUCAUCUCUCAAGGAAGCUAUCUCACGUUUAAAUAGCUCCAUUUAUUUUCCCACUGCCUCAGCUACGAGAUCCUUGAUCUGUUCCAUCUCCUCUCUGAACCCCCGAAUGAACUGUUUGGUUAAGUUACGUUAGAUUUAACUAUUUCACAUGAAAAAGUGGCGAAGUACACCUACUUAAUUACAUGCAAAGAGAGCAAAGAAAUUACCUGAAGAUAUAUGUUACCUCUAGUACAAACCCUGCCUAAAUCACUGAGUUUCGUUCGAACCAGAUGGUUGACACUGGCCGCUCGCCGGCUCCGAGCUUAUAUCUUCACCGAGACUCCCAGCAGGGCUCUCAGGGACCUCGUCUAGUGCGUGGUUGGCCACUAUGUGCGUGUGUGGCCCUCCAUUCGACAGAACGGCAGCUGUGACGUGGGCUCACGCAAUCUGUUCCGAAGCAUCGCGCUGCUCCGUGAGCUGCCGCAGCGCACACGGACCACGGUGCAGUCAGCCAUCCAGCGCAACGGGUACUGGGCCCAUCCGGAACAGCUGCUGCUGGCCGUGGUGGCGGACGGGGACCGUGUGGUUCGCGAACAGGCGGUUCAAAUCAUCAGCGCCGCGCGCGAGCAGCCAACCGAGGGCCCCAGAAUUUUCGCAGACGAUCAACUUCGAGGCUGUGAGCUACACGGAGCUGAUCUCCUGGCGCGAACCAGUCGCGCAACCCCCACUCCUACGAGACCUCAGCGACGGCGUGCUGCGAAGCAUAGUGCACGCUCCAUUGCCCAUCCCGCCUUAUCCGGUUCAUACCCAUGCGGUGGAGAGGGCCGUGCGCACCGUCACCGAGGCAUGUUCGGCGGUGAUUGGAGAAGAGGCGCGGCAUGGCCUCAUCGCGGCCAAGCUCAUGCACCAACAUAUUCUCCCCACCGCCAACUCUAAGAAAAAUCUGCUCUGAAGGUGGUCGUAGUAGCAGGCCCCAGUAUGGCAGCCGCCGCCGCCGCAUCAUUGCGUCCGCCCGCUGCGCAGAUGCAGGACAGUCUUUCGAGUGGAGUGACCAAGGGGCGCACCGCUGGACCAGCACUCGGCGCUCCUACAAGCUGCACGUACUGUGUCUCUGCCUUCUGAUUCAGCAGCACGACGGCAGAAACGUUUAAGACGUGCAGCCCGCAGAAUAGAGACGGCACCGCCGCAGGUCAACCAGCCUGGCAGGGGCUAGUGCAGCAGUGCCCGGGCACGCGCCGCAGAGCAGAGUGGGGCCAGCGCCGCACAGCCGAGAACAUCUGCGGCUGAGGCUGGGGCUUCGGCAAUAGGGCAGCCCGGUUGUGAAGGUACUUUGGCUAUUGUGCGACCUCCGCCAACACGCGUUACGGGUUUCCGGUUUCGCAGCAGCUGCUGUUUCAGCCAGCGCACCGAAUACGCAUGCUCGGUCAGGAGCAAGGUGUGUGUACGGUUGUCCUUACACCUCUCCAUGCCCGUGGUGCAGACUGCAGACAUUGGUGUUUGAAGUUGUA
rnacentral:lncRNA from 1 species